rnacentral:lncRNA from 10 species
GGUUUUGGUAUCAGGAUGAUGCUGGCCUCAUAGAAUGAGCUGGGGAGGGGCCUUUCCUCCUCAAUUUUUUGGAAUAGUUUCAGUAGGAAUGGGACCAGCUCUUCUUUGUUCAUCUGAUAGAAUUCAGCUGUGGAUCCUUCUUGUCCUGCGCUUUAUUUUGUUGAGAGUUGCCCAAGGAAGUCAACAGGAGAGCCAGAUCAGGAAACAGCAACCAGAGGGAGAUGAUCACCUGAACCACUGCUCCAAACCAUGGGCAGUAAAUGCUGUAAAGGUGGUCCAGAUGAAGAUGCAGUAGAAAGACAGAGGCGGCAGAAGGUAGGUGGGGCCCAGGAGGGUGAGAGAAUUGCAGAUCAUUGACUCUUUGAUCCCAGAGUUCUUAGAAUGGAGAUCCAUCUCUGGCUCAGCAUUGCCCUCUUAUCCCCUCAAGCCCUCCCUCUCCUUGGUGAACUGAGUAAGGUAUGGAGAUAG